rnacentral:rRNA from 1 species
GACGAACGCUGGCGGCGGGCUUAACACAUGCAAGUCGAACGAAAACUCCCUGCUUUUGUGCGGUGCUCGAGUGGCGAACGGGUGAGUAACACGUUAGUAACCUACCCCUCACUGUAGGAUGUCUUCAGAAAAAUUGGGCUCAUACCGGGUAAGAGCUCCUGCUACUUGGUGGGCGUUGGACAGUUUCGGCGGUUGGGGAUGUAACCGCGGCUUAUCGGAUUGUUUGGUGGGUAGUGGAUUACCAAGGCUAUGACGGGUAGACGGCCUGGGAGGGUGACCGGCCACAUUGGGACGGAGAUAAGGCCCAGACUCCUACGGGAGGGAGCGGAGGAGAAGAGUGCACAACGGGAGGAAGCCAGAUGCAGCAACGCCGCGUGCGGGAAGACGGCAUUCGGGUUGGAAUCCGCUUUUGCUUGUGACGAAGCGUGAGUGACGGUAAUGGGUAAAGAAGCCCCGGCUAACUACGUG